rnacentral:rRNA from 1 species
AUUGAACGCUGGCGGCAUGCUUUACACAUGCAAGUCGAACGGCAGCGCGGGCUUCGGCCUGGCGGCGAGUGGCGAACGGGUGAGUAAUGCAUCGGAACGUGCCCAGUAGUGGGGGAUAGCCCGGCGAAAGCCGGAUUAAUACCGCAUACGACCUGCGGGUGCAAGCGGGGGACCGAAAGGCCUCGCGCUAUUGGAGCGGCCGAUGUCGGAUUAGCUAGUUGGUGGGGUAAAGGCUUACCAAGGCGACGAUCCGUAGCUGGUCUGAGAGGACGACCAGCCACACUGGGACUGAGACACGGCCCAGACUCCUACGGGAGGCAGCAGUGGGGAAUUUUGGACAAUGGGGGCAACCCUGGUCCAGCCAUGCCGCGUGCGGGAAGAAGGCCUUCGGGUUGUAAACCGCUUUUGUUCGGGAAGAAAUCCUCUGGGCUAAUACCCCGGGGGGAUGACGGUACCGGAAGAAUAAGCACCGGCUAACUACGUG